AGGACGAACGCUGGCGGCGUGCUUAACACAUGCAAGUCGAGCGGAAAGGCCCUUCGGGGUACUCGAGCGGCGAACGGGUGAGUAACACGUGAGUAAUCUGCCCCUAGCUCUGGGAUAGCUCCGGGAAAACCGGGAUUAAUACCGGAUACGACCACCUUAGACAUCUUUUGUGGUGGAAAGAAUUUCGGCUAGGGAUGAGCUCGCGGCCUAUCAGCUUGUUGGUGGGUAACGGCCUACCAAGGCGACGACGGGUA
rnacentral:rRNA from 1 species